AUUAAAGUGGCAGAAUGGUUUAAGUGCAAAAGGUCUAAGCCCUUUACAUAGAGGUUCAAGUCCUCUCUUUUAGUU
rnacentral:tRNA from 1 species